ACCGGGGAGCCGGCGGCCGGAGGAGAAGGUGACUGUGCACCUACCUAUCGUUGCUUCGGCGGACUCGCCCCAGCCCGGACGCGGACUGGACCGGCGGCCCGCCGGGGACCUCAAACUCUUGUAUUCCAGCAUCUUCUGAAUACGCCGCAAGGCAAAACAAAUGAAUCAAAACUUUCAACAACGGAUCUCUUGGCUCUGGCAUCGAUGAAGAACGCAGCGAAACGCGAUAAGUAAUGUGAAUUGCAGAAUCCAGUGAAUCAUCGAAUCUUUGAACGCACAUUGCGCCCGCCAGCAUUCUGGCGGGCAUGCCUGUUCGAGCGUCAUUUCAACCCUCGACCUCCCCUUGGGGAGGUCGGCGUUGGGGACCGGCAGCACACCGCCGGCCCUGAAAUGGAGUGGCGGCCCGUCCGCGGCGACCUCUGCGCAGUAAUACAGCUCGCACCGGGACCCCGACGCGGCCACGCCGUAAAACACCCAACUUCUGAACGUUGACCUCGAAUCAGGUAGGACUACCCGCUGAACUUAAGCAUAUCAAUAGGCCGGAGGAACAGGUGAACGUGCGGAGUCCCCCCCUAAUAAGAAGAAAUAUUGUGUGUCUUGCGAAACCCCCCCCCCACUGAUGUACCGGCAGUCUCCGGGACUAAUUUUGGACUCGCACUGCUGAAAUAGCCAAGGGAAAACAAUGAAAUCAAAUUUACACGGAUCCUUGGCUCUGGCAUCAAUUAAAAAAGCACCGACGAAUAAAUUGAUGCGGAAUUUGAAAAUCGGUGAAUCACCAAACUUUGUACACACAUUGCCGCGCCGUUCGGGCGGGAAUGCUGUCGGGGUACUCUCUCUGGGAGAGUCGGCGAGUGGGGACAGAGCAUACUCCUCAAAGAUAUAAAGAGAGCCUCUCAUGACUCGACAGAAAUAGCGGGACGGGUACAUAACGACCUCCUUAAAAGAUAAAUAUGUUAAG
rnacentral:rRNA from 1 species